rnacentral:rRNA from 1 species
AUACGGAUGGUGCAAGCGUUACUCGGAAUCACUGGGCGUAAAGCGCGCGCAGGCGGCUUGAUAAGUUGGAUGUGAAAGCCUACGGCUCAACCGUAGAACUGCAUCCAAAACUGUCAGGCUAGAGUGUGGGAGAGGAAGAUGGAAUUAGUUGUGUAGGGGUAAAAUCCGUAGAGAUAACUAGGAAUACCAAAAGCGAAGGCAAUCUUCUGGAACACUACUGACGCUGAGGCGCGAAGGCGUGGGGAGCAAACAGGAUUAGAAACCCCGGUAGUCC